CCUACGGGUGGCAGCAGUGAGGAAUAUUGGUCAAUGGGCGAGAGCCUGAACCAGCCAAGUCGCGUGAGGGAUGACGGAUCUAUGGGUUGUAAACUUCUUUUAUCUGGGAGUAAAGUGAGCAACGUGUUCCUUUUUGUAUGUACCAUAUGAAUAAGCAUCGGCUAACUCCGUGCCAGCAGCCGCGGUAAUACGGAGGAUGCGAGCGUUAUCCGGAUUUAUUGGGUUUAAAGGGUGCGUAGGUGGGUAAUGAAGUCAGCGGUGAAAGUGUGUGGCUCAACCAUGAAAUUGCCGUUGAAACUGGUUGACUUGAGUACACUAGAGGUAUGCGGAAUGCGUGGUGUAGCGGUGAAAUGCAUAGAUAUCACGCAGAACUCCGAUUGCGAAGGCAGCAUACCAAACUAUAACUGACACUGAAGCACGAAAGCGUGGGGAUCAAACAGGAUUAGAUACCCUUGUAGUC
rnacentral:rRNA from 1 species